rnacentral:rRNA from 1 species
UACAGAGGGGGCAAGCGUUGUUCGGAAUUACUGGGCGUAAAGGGCUCGUAGGCGGCCAACUAAGUCCGACGUGAAAUCCCCAGGCUUAACCUGGGAACUGCAUCCGAUACUGGAUGGCUUGAAUCCGGGAGAGGGAUGCAGAAUUCCAGGUGUAGCGGUGAAAUGCGUAGAUAUCUGGAGGAAUACCGGUGGCGAAGGCGGCAUCCUGGACCGGCAUUGACGCUGAUGAGCGAAAGCUAGGGGAGCAAACGGGG